AACAUCACAAUAAUUAAUCAACAUGACUCCAGUCCAUCAAUUAACGUCUUGUGAAGUGAAAAGCUACAUCUUGGUAAUAAAUUCAAAUACAUUUUUAACUUCAAACCUCUAUCUAUAAUACUGCAAAGAAUCAGGAGAAUACUGUCUUGUCUGAAUCAGGAGAGAAAUAUACAGUACGGUGCAUAUCAAGCAUCGUUUACAAGCAAAAAACAAUUCUAGACAUUUCUAAACAAACAUGUUGGUGGAUUUUGAUGUGGACAACAGAGGAUGAACCUUUUCAUUAGAGGAAGCGUUUUAAUGAAUUAUUGAUAGGUGUUUUGUACGUAAGUGACCAGAAGAUAAAAUAACUUAUUGAUGGAUUUUUUUGUGAAUACUCUUGAAAGGUUUCACUUUUUGAAACCUUGUGAACUUUUCACUUUUUCACUUCACCUGAUGGUGAGUACAUCUUCAGCAGACUUUCAUUUUGGGAUGAACUAUUCCUUUAGGACAACUACAAGUACACUGUAAGAGAGAAAAUACAUAGAAAAAUUACUGAUAAAUUUCUGCCAGGACAUUAUCAGUUACGUUUACUGACAUUUCCUUUAACCCUAAUACAAAAUACAGGUGUAUUAUACAACACCUGUGAUCCUGACAAGCUUGACACAGCAACAUUAAGCUGGAUGUCAUGUUUCCACUGUGCAGUGCAGUUUUUGUAGGCGAUGAGAUACUCCAACGUAAGUUGACUCGAGGCCCUGACUUUCUCCUUAACGCCUCAGAAGACACUGAAUAUUUACACAAGACCUGCCACGCCACUUCGCUGUUAUACCCAUCUGGUGUAGGAGAUGGUGGGAGAGCGCGAUGCUUGUUUUUGAGUAUGAACGUUAAGUGCUGGGUAAUAUGACAGAUGUCUUGGCUCUGGUUUAUGUGCUAGGUCGACUUCCCUGGUAGAUACGGACCACACACUUGGACCUCCGAGCAUCCUGUUACUGUCAUUGAAUCAAGGAAAUAUGUUGUCAUUUCUGAAGUGCAGAGGAAAAACUGAGAUGGAUGCAGCUUAACAGACAUGGGAGAAUGUCACAGAAUUCUUAUAUAUUGUCUUUUUAGAUAAUGUCCAGUAUAUAUUUUUUCAGUUUAUUUUUUACUGCAAAUGUUUAGGUUUACAAACGUAAUGUAGGUAGUUUAGCAGUAGUUCUGUAAACUACAGUUAAAUUACAUUGUAAGGAAGUGGAGGGAUGGUUGUUUGGAUUUUUCUGUCUCCCGAUACUUCCUUUUUACUAGAAUUCUUGGGAUCUUUCUGAUAUUGUUCAGUUGUUUGUAGAGCUUUACCAGGUGAUAUUCCUGCCUGUUCUUGCUGUUGGAAUUUUGCUUCUGGGUUGUCUCCUCGCGUAUGGAAAAAAACUCCAUUCAGGUGUGAUAACAUCCAGAGAUUAACUUAGAGAGCACUUCAGAGUUCCUAGAAAUAAAGGCCAGCUUAGCCAUAAUCACACUGAUUUAUUAGUGGUUUGUGUUAAGGUUGUCAAAACCCCUGACCCUAAGCAGUGGCUCCAGACUAAAAAUGAUUAGGGAUUUGUUUGGCUCCUAUAAUAAACAUUGGCUUUUAAACAAAUUGCUUUAAUUUAGCAAAUGGCUUCUCUGGUUAAACAAUACAGAAUUGCCAAAUAAUUGUACUUUUUUUGUACAAUAUAAUUUAUUUAAAAAAAAAGAAGCUCUGUAAUGGUUUGUUUAGAAUCACAUAGCCAAAAAAUAACUUCUGGUUAGGUGUGGGAGGGAGUCCAUUUCGAGUAAUGCCUCUGAUUGAUUUAAGGCUGAGUGAGUUUGAUUCAAACUGAUAAUAAAAUCUGAAUAUUUUGGGGAUUUGUUUAAACGGUUCAUUAAAAGAGUAAUCAUUUGUUCAUAAACCAGACAUCACAACUCUUGUUGUAUUCAUUGUUGCAUGCAGUAAACACCAGCACACACACUAAAGAUGUAAUUUAAGAACACCACCUCAUGAGAUGAUAUCUAACAAAACCAUUAUAAUACCUUUAUAGAAUAUUUUUUAUAUCACUGUACAAAAAUGCUGUGAAAUCUAGAAAUUUCAUGAGUACAAAUGAUAACCAUAUAAUUUAGAAGAAGUCCUUUCCUGACACAUUACAUGUGACUAUGAUUUUUAUUUCUUAUUGUGCAUAAGGAAGGGUGUUUUGGGUUGCAUGAUAUUUAAGUUAUUUAGUUAAUGUUUACUGCAUUAUCUUAAUGUCAUAUGUGGUUACACUGAUGGUGUUUUGACCCUGAGCGCCCUAUUUUUUCCUGUAAAUUUUAACAGAAUAUUUUUUUGCAGUGUAAUUUUUAAUUUAUUGUUGCAAGUCUUAAGUUGCUAAGUCUCAUUUGACUUAUUGAAUUGAGAUGUACUGUUUUCUAAGACAAAUGCCAUAGGCCUUUAUUGAAAGAGGGGCUUGAGCCAUAUCUAAAGAAACACCUUAGCAACCCCAUAGCAACAUCCUGGCAAUGACCCAAAUCACACUAGUUUCAUAGCGCUGAGUUUUGCAUGUAAAAAUCUAGUUAAACUUGUUUGUCCUAUUGUAAUUAUAACUCUCUUGCUGUUUAAGAUUGACAGCGCUAAUGUUGACCCUCUUGAGGGAAUGCCAAGUGACUCACGCCGUAAUCAGCAAGUCAAGACCAUAGAUUUAAACGUUUAAAAUUCAACACCCAUAGAUCUAAAGAAUUCCCUCAGGCUCCGGAGACUGUUCUUCGACCUGCAAUGCUCUUACAAAGACAAAGAUGGAACUAGACGAAGGGGGGAGUUUUAUUGAGUGAGACUGCUUCUGCUGCCCUCUGUCUCUUAUUUUCUCUCUCUCUCUCUCUGUCUCUCUCUCUCUCUCUCUCUCUCCCCCUGCAUAAACAUCUGUGACUGGUUAAUGUUAGCCCCGGAGCUAAGUGCAGAGAAAGGGGGUCUGGUUCUCACAGCAGCGAUAGCAGUGGUAAAAGGGCAGGGAGGUGUGGUGGCGAACAGGCAACUGCUGCACAAACGCUCCUGGGCCGACUUCCCGACGCUAAUCAGAGAGUGAGGGUAGGAGAAAGCGCAGUUAGGGAGGGUGAAACUGAUAAGAGAAGGUAAAAGGGGAGCAUCUUGGGAACUGCAAGUGAUUUAGAGCAGAGCCAGGAAUCCAAAAAGCCGAAAGCAACCCAGUUUGCCUCAUGUGUUUUCUCAGCGUUUGGGAGUAGAAAAUAGCACGGCUAAGCUGUGGACUUCGGUCAGAGAGGCGGGGACUGAUUUGUGUGGGAAUUUUGCCGUGCUAGUGGAUCUUCACAUACUGCCCUUAGGCAGCCAGGACAAUGCCAGCUGGUUCUCUCCAGAGCACAGGAAGGUACAGGAAUGAGGGAAGUCGGCUCUCUGAUUAGAGAUGCAUUGUAGCUGAGGGUGAGGCAGUUUCAAGAAGCCAGAUACCAGAAGAUCCAUCCCAAACCGAGGAAGGACAUCACCCUGACUGCCCCGCUCUGUCUUGAAGGUGGGAAUGUAUGCAACGAAAUGACACGUCAACCUGAGAUGCAUUAUCAGGCAGCAAUACAGAGAGUUGCGUGUGUUUCCUGAGUGUGUUGUAGUGUGUUCCAGUCCUCCAGAGAAUUCUGCUCUUCCCAGUGGAAAUCUGAACCUGGAUGUGUGAGCCAAGCCAUUCAAAGUAUUUUUCUGGCUCUGGCGAGAUGAUAGAUCCAUUACCCAGUUCCACAGCAACAAAUAGAGCCAUUCUUCAGAAGAUUGCCAGGCAGGCUAAAGUCCAACCCCAACAACGGCAAGAUGAUCAAGCGGACAAAGCUGAGAAGGGGUCUGCUGAAGCAUAUCAUCCUGUCACCAUAUCGUCUAGCAGCUUUCUCACGGGUGAGUCAUUGGAGGAAGGGAAAGCCGUGUUGCCAUCUAAAUUAAGUAACAGUAAAGAGAUAACCGAACCACAUCUUGACACUACCGGUCCGAAGAGACGACCACGGACCCAAAGUAGCUCAGGAGAAGACGCUGACCGCCAAAAGACAAAAAGAUCUCGUCUUGGAGAGCCUGCAGCGUCAAGCUAUUCCAACAAUCCUUCUUCCGACGUUGCCACUCCAGACUCCGUUUGCAGUCCUCAGCCUGAGAUUUCACAGACUAACCAAAGCGGGCUGGCCGCAAGUUUGAGAGGCCUAUCCAUCAAGCCUUUAUCCUCUGGCUCCUCUAUUAGUUCCAGAUCUGUCGCCAAAAAGGGAAGGAAGGGGGGUGAACCCAGAACAUCCCGAUUACACCGGCUCAAGAAGUCCUAAGGGGCGCAGCGGCAUAGAACAAGAGAGGAUGUCUGACGCCACCAAGAUGUAUGUUACAGUACACACUUCUACUGUAAUACUGUCUGUCAGCGGCGGUUGCACAAGAGUUCACCACACACAGUCUCUGCAUAUACAGUACUUCCCUUCUCCCUUUAAAGUAAAAAACACAAAACUGCUCAAACGCUUGAAUUAGAUUACCAAGAAGCUCUCAAAUAUUUGAAUCGACUCCACUAGCAACAACUUAAAAGGAACUCAAGCAAACAGUAACUUUAAACACUCUAAACAAAAACACAAAUGCAGUUCGCGUUUUCGGUGUAAGAUUUGUAUUUCAGACUAGCGGGAGCCGUUGAGCACACUGUGGCUUCAAGCCCAAAUCUCUGGCUCCAUCCGUCUGAAAUCUGCACUCUUCCAGCUUGAGCUGAGCACAUGAUUGAUUUCGCUGUGUUCUCACAUACACCGCGCUCCUUAAGCGAUCAGGGGUUUUCACCGUUGGAGCCGACUGCCGUCUCCCUGCGGUUAUUAUUUGUAAAUGUGUUAUUGCUUUUCGUAACAGCUAUAAGUCUGCUGCAGGAUGACUGACAACGUUAUGGAACACUGAAGUGGUGCUCGCGUCCGAUAUUUGGCUAAUCACGGGUGGAGUUGACAUUGAUUUAGUGCGUGAUGGCAGGAUGAUUAUAUGUAUGGACAUAAAUUUGUUGAGUCACAUGCUUUAUUUUCUAGCCGUGCUUACAAAUCACUCAAUGUUUAUGUAUUUAGUAUAAUAAAUGUGUCAUAAAAACGUUAUCAGAAUAUACAAACAUUGUGCGGUAAUAAUCCCAUAAUGCGGCAGUCGGAAUGCUUCUGUUUAGAGUUACAACAUAUUUCACUGUAUAUUCUGAUGUCAUGAAAUUCGAAUCGUUAAAGAUAGCAAACCAUUUGUUCUUAAUCAAACAAUGUUUGCAUUGAGAUAACUGUGAACUAAAUGUCCAAGGAAUACCUUAAAAACUGAAUGUAAUCUACUGUACUGCCUUACAAUAUAACUCAUGUUUUACUAUUACUUAACCAUUAAAGGAAUUCUGAUUUCUUGACUUUUAAUUAUCUAGUGCUCUGAAUGACAUACUGUAAUGUUGGAGAUCAACCUUUAGCAAAUUGAGGCUUAAAGUUGUGAGGUGACCGAAGUAUAGUAGCAACAGAUCUUUUCCAUAUUGUGACUUAUGUUCAAGUGUAACGGAUUACUGAAAAAGAAAAAUUUUACGUAGGUUGGGAAAAAUGUAGGUCUGUUUAUUGCUUGUUAAUUAGAUUUUUAAGUGGACUAAAUGCUUGGAGAAAUCCAGCAUAUAUCACAGAGAAGAAAACUGAGUUAUGACAUUUUGAUUGAGGCCAGGAUAAUAACAUGCAUUUACAAAUUAGAAUUUUCAGUUCGUUAAUUUAAAAAGAACAAUUUUAACCAUAAAAGAAAAUGUCAUCAACCCAUUCCAAACCAGUUCAACUUCCUUUCUUCUGUGGAACAGCAAAAGGAAAUUCUGGAGGCUGUGCUGAGCAUUCAUUUUGAUGUAAUUGCAAUGAAUGCAGAUGGAUGUUUUCAAGCCUUAGAAAUGACACAGAGCGCAAUAAAAUAAUCAUAAAAGUUACUUGUGCAUUAUAUCCAAAGUGUUCAGAAGUUAUAAAAAGCCUUUGUGUGAGAAAGAGACUGAAGUUUAAGUUUUUUUCACCAAUGUUUCUCUGCUGUGACCAAAUUGAGUCAGCGAGUUUAUCUCGAGUCUGAUUCAUAAAUCAUUAAGACAGGUUUUAUGAACUGGAUCAACGGAGUGAUUGAAAAGAUGUGACUCACAAGAAUGAUUCGUUCACAAAUUGGACUUAUUUCACCAAUUAUAAGAAAAUCUUGAGUGAAUGUUCACUUAAAUUUCUUACAAAGCUAUCACAUGACUUCAGAAGACUUUGAAUAUAGGGCAUGAGUUGUAUGAACCACUUUGAUGAUGUCUUUGUGUUCUUUUUGCCCCUCGAAACUUCCAUUCCUCAUUUAGUAUGCAUGGGGAAACAGCUCCCCUUACUAUCGAAAUGCCUUUUUUGUGUACCACAGAAGAAAGAAAAUCAUAUAUGAACAAAACACCUUGAGGGUGAGUAAAUGAUGACAGAAUUUACAUGAUACAUGACUGGAAAAACCCUUUUUUCUUCUCAUCACCAUAAGCUUUGGCUUUGCCCUGUAGUUAUUUUACUGAAUACCUCAUUCAUCAUAUAGGGAGGAAAGUUCAGUCGCAGCGUCAGUCUUCACAUGGUACAGAGUACAAUCAGACCUGCACGGCUGUACCACGAAAAGACAUUUAGACAGACCUUGUGCCUCACAUAACAUUAUGUCAGCGUAAGAGAGGAUUCAGCUCCUCCCAAAGCAGCACACAAACAUUUAAUUUUCCUUUUAUACAAAAUGUUUAAUAAAUAUAACAUUCCAAAAAUAUUGCCAGGAACAAACUAAAAAACUAAUUUACAAUAUGGUCAAAUAUGAAAAUUGCCAUGAUCUCAUAGAAUUUACAAAUGUGAUAAGCUUGCCGGUUUGGUGUUUUAGAGAGCCUUGAUAUAAAAGCGUAACGAAAAGAACACUACAUGUGCACAGCAAAAGAAAUGGACUCCUAAAA